UACGUAGGGUGCGAGCGUUAAUCGGAAUUACUGGGCGUAAAGCGUGCGCAGGCGGUUCGUUAAGACAGAUGUGAAAUCCCAGGGCUUAACCUGGGAACUGCAUUUGUGACUGGCGAGCUAGAGUAUGGCAGAGGGGGGUAGAAUUCCACGUGUAGCAGUGAAAUGCGUAGAGAUGUGGAGGAAUACCGAUGGCGAAGGCAGCCCCCUGGGCCAAUACUGACGCUCAUGCACGAAAGCGUGGGGAGCAAACAGG
rnacentral:rRNA from 1 species